rnacentral:tRNA from 1 species
GGGAAGCUACCGCCCGCAGGCUGUUUUUACUGACUUUUAAUCAGAUGGUCGCUGGUUCGAUCCCAGCGCGGCCCACCA